UCUCAAAUUAUUCAGCAAUGACCGUUGUUUGACAGUUUGACCCUGUAGAAUUCUGACAGAACUCCGAUAUCUGUCUUUGUCUCCUAAUAACAAUAACGGGAAAUUUGGCACACACACAGGCCUAUGUCUAUUACUACAUGCGAUUCUAUCAAGGUGACGGAUGAUAGAUAAUAUCGACGUUACGAGCAUCAGGUUGGAUGCUACUUAAAAGAAUCUUGAUCGACGUUGCGUUAGAGAUUGCAUCACUCUCACAAUCCGAAAUUCGAUUGGGAAACCUCUAGCUGAUGUUCCAGUUUACUAAAUUUCGAUUAAAACAUGUCUCGAACCCUGUCAAGCAGCGCUUUGUCUGUAUUUACAUCAGCCAUUGGAGACGUUGAAGUGCCGGUGGAUGUCGAACCAUAUAAGGAGUCUAUCAGAUUGCUAUGAAUGAGAGUGUCUAGCCAAAGAGGAGAAUCCCGGGUGUGAUACCGCUCCACUGGGCGUGCAAGUAAUCGGAUUAGCUAUUGGUACAAAUCCUUCCAUCCUUUACAAAUCUGCUUCUUUGGAGCUGCCAUAGUCCCAAGGGAGAAAUAACAUCUGCUGAAUGAAUUUGUUAAAUUGAAUGAUUUAUAGACAUCGGAAGAUCCAAUACAUCCAAACGAAUCGAUAUAUGACACAUCAAUAUAGCUAGGCUUAGCGACAAAUCUAACCGUGGCGGUUAUAAGAAAAAUGUAGAAGAAUGGAUUAUGUAGAAAAGAGCGAAGAAGAGGUUGUGCCCGGAAGAUGCGCGAAUCACAACGAAACGAAUAAACGAAUGCUAUGCAACGCAACACAGACUGUAUGCGGAGGGUGUAAAGAUUCAUAAACUGGACCUAGAAAUCAAACAAGACUAUCAAGACUCGAAGAGACACCGAAAACACGUCCAUAUUUUAGUAUCGAGGAAAUUUAGGUAUAAAUUUUUCCCCGACUAUUUACAAUUUAUUUACAAUAAAUUGUCUGUACAGAUAUUAAUUAGACAGAAAA